AUUGAACGCUGGCGGCAGGCCUAACACAUGCAAGUCGAACGGUAACAGGAAACAGCUUGCUGUUUCGCUGACGAGUGGCGGACGGGUGAGUAAUGUCUGGGAAACUGCCUGAUGGAGGGGGAUAACUACUGAAAACGGUAGCUAAUACCGCAUAACGUCGCAAGACCGAAGAGGGGGACCCUCGGGCCUCUUGCCAUCGGAUGUGCCCAGAUGGGAUUGGCUUGUUGGUGGGGUAACGGCUCACCAAGGCGACGAUCCCUAGCUGGUCUGAGAGGAUGACCAGCCACACUGGAACGGAGACGCGGUCCAGACUCCUACGGGAGGCAGCAGUGGGGAAUAUUGCGCAAUGGGGGCAAGCCUGAUGCAGCCAUGCCGCGUGUAUGAAGAAGGCCUUCGGGUUGUAAAGUACUUUCAGCGGGGAGGAAGGGAGUAAAGUUAAUACCUUUGCUCAUUGACGUUACCCGCAGAAGAAGCACCGGCUAACUCCGUG
rnacentral:rRNA from 1 species